UCGCACACUGAAAUGAACAUCAGGAUGAUGUUGUUUCGAAGCAGGAAUACACCGAGGACGGUGCUACAAGGAAAGGCUUCAGGACGAAGCGAAAGGAAAUUGCAGGAGUGCAUUAAGGGACACCUCCAGGAAGGAGAACGAGAGCCGGUCAGGAUGUUCGGUGGAUCAUGAAGAUCAAGGACACGCUUUACGGAUGACGCUAUUCCACAUCGGGGUGAUGUGGGCAGGAUGCACGGUUUAAGGAUGAACAGGUCAGGAGACCACAGGAAAAGUUGUCAAGGAUGAGCAGGGAGCACCAAAAGUAGCUGGACUGCUGCGAAACGAACCGGGAGCACUGUUUCUACAGUGCUCCCUUUUUUUAU
rnacentral:other from 1 species